rnacentral:rRNA from 1 species
AGUGAACGCUGGCGGUAGGCCUAACACAUGCAAGUCGAACGGCAGCACAGUAAGAGCUUGCUCUUACGGGUGGCGAGUGGCGGACGGGUGAGGAAUACAUCGGAAUCUACUUUUUCGUGGGGGAUAACGUAGGGAAACUUACGCUAAUACCGCAUACGACCUACGGGUGAAAGCAGGGGAUCUUCGGACCUUGCGCGAUUGAAUGAGCCGAUGUCGGAUUAGCUAGUUGGCGGGGUAAAGGCCCACCAAGGCGACGAUCCGUAGCUGGUCUGAGAGGAUGAUCAGCCACACUGGAACUGAGACACGGUCCAGACGCCUACGGGAGGCAGCAGUGGGGAAUAUUGGACAAUGGGCGCAAGCCUGAUCCAGCCAUACCGCGUGGGUGAAGAAGGCCUUCUGGUUGUAAAGCCCUUUUGUUGGGAAAGAAAAGCAGCAGGUUAAUACCCCGCUGUUCUGACGGUACCCAAAGAAUAAGCACCGGCUAACUUCGUG